CUGUCUCUUGCUUCAACAGUGUUUGGACUGAACAG
rfam:Myotis lucifugus cont2.12101, whole genome shotgun sequence.